GCCAUAAAGAAUAAAUACAUUCGAUAAUUUUGAACGUAUAUUUGCUUAUAUUCAAGGACACAGUAAGGCCUACCUCUGUGUUCGUUAGUAAUGUGUUAAUCGUGUUAAAUAAGUACCUAACACGUUAUUUUGAAACUACUUCCCGAAGUUCCGUAGGUAUAGGUGGGUGUGGAUUAGAUGUCUAGUUACAUAAGCACACACAAAUAUGUUUAGUAAGUGUCUCAUAACUAACUGUGUUACGACUAGUUCAGGAUAAAAUAAUGAGCAGCCACAAACGGAACGCACGCGCAGCGCAGGGCGACGCGGAAAUCACAACACACACUUCCGCGUGCCGCCAUCUUGGCUAACACCUCGUGAGAUUCGCCUGUUACUCAGAUUACACGCCAAUGUUGUGCUAAAUUUUAACUUAAACUACACCACAAAUUAGAAGACAGUAGAAAGAAUAAUAAGCAGAAACGAAGUCGGUACGAAGUAUAACUCAAAAGGAAACGAUUACGGUAUUGCAGCUGAUCAGUGAUUGUAGUAACAGUUACAUAUGGCAAGGUGUGGCAACCCGCGGUAGUCUGCAGGUCCCGUGCGUGUUUCUCAAGCAAGGAUAGUGUCCGGGCGAGACUUGCAAGUUGCGGCGGCUACGUAAUCCCACGGCAACGCCACUUCCUGAAGGUGGCGCAAGCGGUACGCGAAUGUCGGCCGAGCAUUUCGCGCCACUUUCGUAAUCCGUUGCGUGGUGCGACCGGCCGCCUUGCCCGGCCCGCAGGAAGUAAAAGUUCGAAGAUGGGUGGAUGAGCUCACGGCCACCAUGAACAGUCCAAACCGAAGCGCAUUACUUCUUCACGAGCCGUGCUGACUCACAAGACGUCCUACCACCAGGAAAAACAGAACAAAACUUACUAACAGAACGAAGCUUAUUUUGAUCGGAAACUUCGACCGGUUUCAAAGCCGACCGGAAACCGGAACCGCGGCAAGGGUUAGAGCGGAGACGACGCUCGUUUCCGUCGGAAGAACGGUGCGGCGCCAGGAAGGUUGCUAUAUACUAGUAGAUUCCUAGAAAAUAAAUAAAGCGUCGCCAUAUUGCCGGACUCCGAUCAAUAAAUCCGUUCAGUUUUGCAUCUAUAUUCAUCUGUUAUGAACAGUUUCUAGCCAAAUCUCGCAAAUCAGUCUUGAAAAACUCCCUUAAUCGUGAUUCUAUAUUGUUAUUUGGUAGUUCAAGGUGUUAGGAAAAGAUUAAAAUUUCGACAACAACUGCUUGUACAAGCAGAAAAUGUCUUUAAGUAAAAUUCAGCUGAAUAAUUAAUUUUUAUAUUAAAAGAAAACCAUGAAUCAAUAUUUUUCUUUUUAGUUUCAGUGCUCGAACCUAUAAGUUCAAAAAGUAUUAUUGAAAGAAGGACUUUAAAAGCGCGUAGUUUAAGAAACUCCUGUGAUUCGAUGUGGCUGAAAGGACCAGAUGCCGUGGCUACUUUUAAGAAGCGAAUCGACUAGGCUUGUUUUGAAAUCAAGUCUCAAGUCCUCAUGUCUCAAGUUGGACGGCGGCAUUAAUGCUUAUGAACUCGUGUGUCUACGUAACACCAGAUGGAUCGUGAGCUAUUUUGCCCAUAACUCUAAAAACAAAACAAUAAAUACUUAUAGUUAUACUUAUUAUACUUAUACUUAUUACUUUUUUGAUAUCUCAAAAAAAGUCAAAGGUUAUUUCUGCUGCCAAUAUCUUGGAUAACUUAAUUUUGUUAAUUUGUAUAUCAUAAACUUAAUUUUAAUAACAAUAAAAAAACCAUAUAAUCUGUGUUCAGUUCUAUCGUGCAGAAUCUAAAAAGUAAUUUAUAUCUAAACGUUACUUACAAUAGUGUGUCAUAGAGAUUACAAAUUAUAGCAAUUAUUACAAAUUUUAAGAAAAAAUUAACGAUCACAUGUGAUACAUCUAACGUCUUCCACUUGGAUUAAUAAAAACAAACUUCCCAAGAGCUUUAUUGAGAAACAGUUUUCUUAUUACAUGCAAGAAUUACUGCUGCUGUUUUUAAACGCGCGUUACGCAUUGAAAACUUUUCGAGCUAAUUUCCCCUUUGCAGGUCUUGCAAGGAUGUAUUUGUUCUCUUACUUUAUAAAGAGCUCACAUACAUACUUUAAGAAUGCAUUGUUACAAUCGUGCGGUAAAGAGCGAUGUCAAGUGAACUCAUGUCGAUUCUCGGAACCGAACAGAAAACAUUUUUAGGUCCGGUUUCAAGCGUACUUCGAAUAACGGAAAUUUACGCUAUCGUGUGUGGAAUGCUAUAAGAAUUGAUAGUUUAUUCAAAAGCUAUAAAAAUACUGUUCUUUUUUUCUGUUAAAAUGAAGAAAACACCCCGUCGAAAACUUCCUAAAUCACAAGUUUGUUGCAAAUUUUGAGCAAGCACAGAAUAAAGUGUAAUUGUAGCUAUUUCAGUACGUAACUAGCUACACGUGAUUGUUUAAAAUUGUAAUAAACCUUCAUAACUAAACACGGUUGGAACACAGGCAUAUUCUAAAACGGUACACGCAUUAUCGGAAUUAUCGGUUUACUAAAUCGUGCUGUAUUCCCAACGGACGAGGAAGGAAACUUAUUGAUAUUUGGCGUCGCGCGCCUAACCGGUUCUGCAAGUGUUAUUCUGAAAACAAGAUGCCUCUGGACUUUCCGAUCAGACGGUAUUUUACUGAUUUGUUUUUUUCUUUUUCUUGUAUAACGUAUGUGCCGCGCUUAGAAGACCAUAAUAACUUUUUACUGAUGGACAAAGCUGAAGGUCACGCGGAACUCGAGUCUAGUCCGACUAUAAUUUUUGUUUCGAAUUGCGAAGGAAGUUAUAAAAACUUGAUCAGAGGUAUUGAUGGGGCAGGUAACAUUUAAGUCCUUUUUUUAGGUAUCUGUGUCGGCUUGUAGUUUUUUUAAAUGUUAAUUUGAAACAUAAUUUACAAGUAAUGCUGAGCUGAUGUGUUUUUGUUUAUCUGCUUUGUACAAAAGAACAAAGGUUCUGUUAAGCAUUCAACAAUUGCAAGCAAGUGAAAGCAAGUGUUCACAAUUUAGAAAGAAGUUUGGAAACAUAUGACAAUUUUUUUUUUUUAUUAUUGCUUAAUAUUUUAAUUUGUGUAAAACAACGCAAGCUGAAGAUUAUUUUUGACUCUUUAUUAUGGUUCCAUCUUAAUUGAGUCAACCUACCUCGUAUGUUUUCGCGACAACAACAAUAUUAUGGACUCUAAAUGAUGUUGACGUUUCGUAUUCUAUUAAAAAAAAAACUAUCUUAUAAAGUUGUCGGUUGACUUUAUCAUGAUAGUCCAAUAAGUAGAUAAAUAUUUAGUUGUUAUAUGUAUUUUCAUAUUUUGUUUCAUUAAUAUGCAGAUGAAGAUGUAAUGAAUAUGUAUGUGCCCACUGAGAAGAGGCCUCGACGACCGUUCUAGAGGUCAAUGUCAACUGAAUAACACGACCAUAGAGAUAAGAGCUAUUCGUGAAUCUUUAACUCCCUCUCCGUCUGACAAGAUACGGAUUACAACGGGGAUUUGAAAAGGUCAAGAUAUAUUGGCUUGUUUUGACUGCCGGUUCCGCCGGUUGUAGGUGGACAUACCCGAUAGCACUUACGAGGAAACUUACUCGUCAUCUUCCGAUAAGUUUUUAACAGCUUUGCAAUACUUUUAUGUGUACUCAAACAUUAUAAUUCAGACUAAUUAAACACGCAAGGCGAAUUAAAAGCACAAAGAGCGCGAACAUCGGAUCUUUUUUUUCCAAAUAAAAACUUUUUAUUGAAAUUACAAUAAAUUUUAUCGACGUCCACCCGGAUUGGUCUGAUAUAAUAUAAAAAAUACUAAUUUAAUAUAAAGAAAUCCAAACAAUAUUUACUGUAAUAAUUUCAAAGCAAUUUAUUAGUUGUGUUAGUUCUGAUUUUGUGAUUAGGUAUAGAUAAUAUGAUCACAAAAUAAAAUACUCUUCAUUUGACUUUGCGCAGACACAACAUAAAAGAAAAGAAGUUUCUAGAUUCCAAGUUAUAACGCUAAAUUGUUGAUCGAUUUAAUAUCUAAAUGGUAAGCAAGAUUCCUGACUUAAUAUGUACGUUGAUUAUUUUUUCUGUCCAGUAUGUUAUUGUAUUAAUUUGAGUUCUAAUAGCUACUAUAGUGAGAAUGAAGUAAACAUUUCCUGGGAAUUCCAAAAUACCAUAGAUUUAAAAUCAACGUCAUAAAAAUGUUUACAAGAAAAUCUGUAAAUGAAGACAAAAUAGCAUUAGUUAUUUUUAUAAUGUUAUAGUUUGUGUGUUCAUUCACUGUUUAAGCUAAGAUAAAUAUGUAGUUUGGGAAAUUCAAAGAAGACCUAUUUGUUUAUUGUAGAAAGGGAAACGAGAUAAAUUCUAAAAGAAAUUUCUAACACUGACGGAACAGUAUAAGAAAAGUACCUUUAAAACAUUGCAUAGCGAGGAAGUUAAUCUUAAUUAUAAUUUGUUAUCUUACGUUGUGCUGGUAAAUAAUAAAAACAAGCUAUUAACAAUCUCAAUAAAAAUUUAAUGGGUUGCCAACUGUUAUCGUGUCAGAAGAAACAUCACAAUAUAUUCACAUUACGUACCUAUACGGUUUUCGGCACAAAUGAAAACAGAUUGGUAAGUGCCCGGUAUCAAACCUGAAAUCUUUCGAUUGAGAAGCACAUAUGUCAGUAUAAAGCCAUGAUCCAACAGCUGUAUUGACGAGAGAGAUAAUGUUGUUUUUGUUUUGCGUUCAUAACAUGGUGUGUCGUGUAAUGCGAAGAUUCAAUUUGUUUGAGUUUUAGAACACAUGACUAGUAAGUAGUUCUUCAAACGAGUUGAAAGGGGCAUGUUCGCAUGGCGUGACAACUCGCCGGUCCAAUUGGUCGAGAUUGCAAGCUUCCGGCGCGCGCUUCCGCCCGAUAACAGCAAGACGCCAAACGCGAGUAAACCGCAACGGUCAACGGACUUCAACAACUACUUGCUAAAUCUAUAGACCGGCAUUGUCAAUAUUAAAAAAAAAAAUAGCCGAGCUCACGACUUACCAAUCUUAACUGUAGCACAAAUGUGAGAUCGAGAUAUGAAGUCGAAAUUUCAUUUGUAUUCUAUAAGACUGAGAAAUAUGCAGUACUGUUAUUAUUAUCUAAAUAUCAUGUUACUCCAUAAUAAAGUUAUAUCUAACGAUUGAUGUCAGUUACAUCGUACCUACCAGCUUUACAAUGUCGAAAAUCAUUUAACCGCAUGCACGCGUUUGAAUUUAGGAAUCAUACUUUAUGCGAUUGACACAGUAGUUACUGUAAACUACUGAGAUAACAAACAAACUUCCACUGACUUAGCAAUAGUAUUCACACGAGACGGAUCCACGUUUGGAAAUUACUUUCGAUUUUACGGAUUUUUUUUUCCUAAGCACCUAAAUUGUGUCUGGACACCAUAAACCGCCUCAUUAUAGAUGCCUGCGUCUUAUAAUUAAUGCCUACUGACGCACAGCACAAAGGGCAUUCAGAGCCCUCAAAAGCUUCACGAAGGGUUGCGAUAUCUAUAAUCGAAUAGAAUAAAUUCGACAAAAACCUCAAUCACAGCUAGUCUUAUUUGAUUGACGAUAGACUGUCGUCUGUCUACGGAACAAAUCACUCAUUCUGUCGUAGGUUUUCCUGAGAUCUUCCCACCGUAGUCGUUGGCUAUAAGUAUGGAGAUAGAUAGUCCAUUCUGGGUUCGAACAAGUAAAAAUCUAAGCAUGGACUAUAAAUAUCGUUCUCGAAGCCAGUAUGCUAUUUAGGUCGCCCCGCAAAUGAAAACGGAGCCAUAUGCUUACCACUAAAUAAAUUACAUUGUAAAAGAACAUGUGAUGUCAUCUUACAGACUAUAAAUUGAAAGUUUUUAUUGUUUAAUAUUGUAGUAUCUCUGCCUUCGGCAGUUUCUAGGCUUAAAAACUUCUUUUACUUAAAAUGUUGUGUUUGUUAUUUUCAUUUUAAGUCUAAACUCUAAAUCGACUAUGUUAUUAUUCGUUGACGUUUAAAUAUACUGCUAACUACUAA